ensembl:lncRNA
GGGAAGCACGGGAGCGACGCUGGGACAACAACUUCACUUUGCUACCCUGCUUCCAACAGACAGCACCCAUGCACCCCAAACUCUUGGCAAAAAGGGGUGCUUUCCCCUUCCCCCCCCCCCCCCAACACCCCCCUUGUUUUUUUCUUAAUUCUUUGCAAAACUUCAGCCUUCUCUCGUGCAACUUCAGCCCGAGGCACAGCGGCGACUUUCUGUCCGCCGAUGGGGUCGCCACCUGCAAGGCUGUGCCGGCAACCCUGCUCUGUUGUUGCUGGGUGGCUCUGGGGGCUUUGCAGGUCCCACUGUUACUGUGGGGCUGCCUCUGCCCCCCUCUCCAGCCCCCGCCAGGCUGCCUUGCCCCACGGCUUCCUACUCGCCCCACCCAUGUUUACAUACGAUCAACCAGGCGGCCGCAGCCUCCUGCACAAAGGGCAGAGUCCUCCUCGG